GACGACAUACGGGCCAGGCGCGAGCGCACGCCGGGCACGCGCGACGCGCAUGCCGUCACGAGCGCGGCGGUACCCAGACACAGCACGCUGCCCUUGAUCACCGCGUAAUCAGAAGAGAGCGCCGCUGCUGCCAUGAUGGCGGGCCAUGCGCUAUCGGGGUUGGGAGGUGUGCCGCGCCCGUGGCGGAUGGUGACGCCCACCGGGUAGAUUGGCACCUUGACGGCGCACGGGGCCUGUGCGAGGAAAAGGAAAAAGAGAAACCAUACACGACACACGGGUGCACGCACAUGGAAAACACGCCGAUCAGGCGGCGUAGCGCGACAUUGUGCCGUGAUGGAAAAAAAAGAGGCAAAAAAGAAUAAACGAAAAGAGCAG
rnacentral:lncRNA from 1 species